rnacentral:rRNA from 1 species
AUUGAACGCUGGCGGCAUGCUUUACACAUGCAAGUCGAACGGUAACAGGCCGCAAGGUGCCGACGAGUGGCGAACGGGUGUGUAAUGCAUCGGAACGUGCCCAGGCGUGGGGGAUAACUACUCGAAAGAGUAGCUAAUACCGCAUACGAUCUAUGGAUGAAAGCGGGGGACCGUAAGGCCUCGCGCGAUUGGAGCGGCCGAUGUCAGAUUAGGUAGUUGGUGGGGUAAAGGCUCACCAAGCCAACGAUCUGUAUCUGGUCUGAGAGGACGACCAGCCACACUGGGACUGAGACACGGCCCAGACUCCUACGGGAGGCAGCAGUGGGGAAUUUUGGACAAUGGGCGCAAGCCUGAUCCAGCAAUGCCGCGUGCAGGAAGAAGGCCUUCGGGUUGUAAACUGCUUUUGUACGGAACGAAACGGCUCUGGUUAAUACCCGGGGCUAAUGACGGUACCGUAAGAAUAAGCACCGGCUAACUACGUG